rnacentral:rRNA from 1 species
ACACAUGCAGUCGAGCGGGCACCUUCGGGUGUCAGCGGCGGACGGGUGAGUAACGCGUGGGAACGUGCCCUCUGGUUCGGAAUAACUCAGGGAAACUUGAGCUAAUACCGGAUACGCCCUUUUGGGGAAAGGCUUGCUGCCGGAGGAUCGGCCCGCGUCUGAUUAGCUAGUUGGUGAGGUAACGGCUCACCAAGGCGACGAUCAGUAGCUGGUCUGAGAGGAUGAUCAGCCACACUGGGACUGAGACACGGCCCAGACUCCUACGGGAGGCAGCAGUGGGGAAUAUUGGACAAUGGGCGCAAGCCUGAUCCAGCCAUGCCGCGUGAGUGAUGAAGGCCUUAGGGUUGUAAAGCUCUUUUAUCCGGGACGAUAAUGACGGUACCGGAGGAAUAAGCCCCGGCUAACUUCGUGCCAGCAGCCGCGGUAAUACGAAGGGGGCUAGCGUUGCUCGGAAUCACUGGGCGUAAAGGGCGCGUAGGCGGCGUUUUAAGUCGGGGGUGAAAGCCUGUGGCUCAACCACAGAAUGGCCUUCGAUACUGGGACGCUUGAGUAUGGUAGAGGUUGGUGGAACUGCGAGUGUAGAGGUGAAAUUCGUAGAUAUUCGCAAGAUCACCGGUGGCGAAGCGGUCAACUGGACCAUUACUGACGCUGAGCGCGGACGCGUGCGGAGCAACAGAUUAGAUACCCUGUAGUCACGACGUAAACGAUGAGUGUCAGCUGAUGAGGUGCGUGCAUCUCAGUAGCGCAGCUACG